GACGAACCGAGCGAACGUUGUUCGGAAUCACUGGGCUUAAAGGGCGCGUAGGCGGAUUCUCAAGUCCGGGGUGAAAUCCCACAGCUCAACUGUGGAACUGCCUCGGAUACUGGGAGUCUCGAGGGUGGUAGGGGUAUGCGGAACUAUCGGUGGAGCGGUGAAAUGCGUUGAUAUCGAUAGGAACUCCGGUGGCGAAGGCGGCAUACUGGACCACAUCUGACGCUGAGGCGCGAAAGCUAGGGGAGCAAACAGG
rnacentral:rRNA from 1 species